GAAGAUUAGAUUCAGACUUCUGUCGUUUUUCUAAUUUUUCAAAAACCUAUUUGGAUAACAUUAUUCUGAUAGUGAUUUUUUUUGUAUCGUGUGUAUUUGAAGUAUUAGUUAUCGAAAACUGAUCUCAUUUUUAUAUCACACGAUACAGGUAUCUAGCGUUGAUAGAAUGAUAGAGAGAAAAGGAGAGAGAAAAUGGGACAGAAAAAGAGAGCAACCCACAUUGUGUAAUAUGCUGUAGUAGAACAAUUGUUGCCGAAUGUUUAGGAAAAAGAAAGAACCACUUGAAUGUAUCCUCCUUAGCUUGACGUUGACACAUGUAUUUUAGACAUCUGUAUUUAUAUCUCCACGAUGUUGAUUAAGGCAAUCAAUCAAAAAAAAAUUGAAAAAAGUAAAAAAGGUAAAAUGACAAAAAAAAAAAAGAAACGAUCGUGUGCCCUAUUUUUGUAACCAAAACGUAUUUUGAAUACGAUAAAAAUUUUCACAUUCUCGAAAUGCGCGUUUUUUCGCAAUAAGAUGUACAUUUUAUUGUUUAAUACUGUGAUGUGACAAAAUCGGCGGCGUGCAGUGCCUAUCCAGAACUUCAUUUCUAUAAGGGGGAAGAAGGAUGGAAAAAAUAGUGAAAGAAAGGACAUAGGAUUUUGACGAGAACGAGACAGAUUCUGUUGGUUAAGAAAAUAUUGGAAAGGAAUCUUGAAUAUUGUGAGAUUGGACGAGACCGCAUCGGUAAAAGAAAGCUUCGCUGUAAUGAAAAGAAGAAAAAUGGAUUUACAAAAUCAAUAUACAGUUUUGCCACUUUAUCAUCUGCUAAGGACGUUUUCUUUUUCAUUUUUCAAUCUUACUUUUAAUCGAAUAAGUCUUAAAAUCUGUGAUGAGUGUUGAAUAAAAAAUUAAAGAAGUCGGUUGUAAAAAAGACUAAUCUAAUCGGCGCGAUUUUAUCCAAUCUUUACGAUCUCUUUCGAGAGGCGCUUAUUUGUUCGUAGCAUUUUCUAUCACAUGCAUACACGCUGCACGACAAGGUUAACGCAACUUCCUUUUAGCAAUAUUAUAGAUUUAUAUAUAUGUGUACGAUGCGAAACAGCCAUUCUGUGCAAGGGAAAAAGGCGAGACAGUUAUUGUAAUAAGGGCGUUUUUUUGUUAUCCAACCAGAAACUAUCACAACUAAGGCUAUCUUCGUCUUCAGGGAACAGGUUGCUUCUGAUUGCAUAACGAAAAAACGCCAUAGCAGGAGGUGCCCUUCACUUGUACAGUUGCAAGAAUUACAUUUUAGGGACGAAAAUCAUAUGACCAAUGUAAAAUAAAAAAAAUAUUGGAAAACUAUAUAUGUAAAUAUAUACAUAUAUUUACACACAUACACGUAUACAUAGGAAGCGUGUUAAUGCGAGAAUUGCACGAAUAAAUCGUACGAUUUUCGCCCUUCUGUGAGAAAAAACUACCGUAUGUGAUUACAUUCCUGUGUCACAUCGCUACGGAUGUACCCUCGGAUGUUUAUCCAAAUAAAUUGAUCAGCAUAUGUAUCGCAAGGCGAUUAGGCGCAAAUGCGAUUACAUCAAGAGACUAAGAUGUGUAUCGGCUGUAGGCGAUGCAAGCGAAACGAAGAGAAAAAUGUAGGUUGAAGCGAGAAAGGGCAGAGUAGAGCAAAGCGAAAUGAAAUAACGUUAUAUAUGUGAAGUAUAUAUGUACACACAUACCUUUUUCAAGCUCGAGAAGCCACCCGUAUAUAAUACCGCGUAGAUCUCCUUCUCGAAACCCAUGCAGACAACAGAGGAGAUGAUGAGGAUCGCACCGGUUAGACUGGUGGACGUGGGCUUCUCGCCGAACAGCGCCUUUGUGACCAACACCUGACCGGUAAGGCCAGUCAAUGCCACCAG